rnacentral:rRNA from 1 species
UACGAAGGGGGCUAGCGUUGUUCGGAAUUACUGGGCGUAAAGCGUGCGCAGGCGGCCUUCCAAGUCAGGGGUGAAAGCCCAGAGCUCAACUCUGGAAUUGCCUUUGAGACUGUGAGGCUUGAGUACGGGAGAGGUGAGUGGAAUUCCCAGUGUAGAGGUGAAAUUCGUAGAUAUUGGGAAGAACACCGGUGGCAGAAGGCGGCUACACUCG